GUGCCAGCAGCCGCGGUAAUACGUAGGCAGCAAGCGUUGUUCGGAGUUACUGGGCGUAAAGGGUGCGUAGGCGGCCGAUUAAGUUUGUCGUGAAAUCUCCCGGCUCAACUGGGAGGGUGCGGCGAAUACUGAUGGGCUGGAGUGCGGGAGAGGAGAGUGGAAUUCCUGGUGUAGCGGUGAAAUGCGUAGAUAUCAGGAGGAACACCGGCGGUGUAGACGGCUCUCUGGACCGUAACUGACGCUGAGGCACGAAAGCGUGGGUAGCAAACAGGAUUAGAUACCCUGGUAGUCCACGCCCUAAACGAUGCACAUUUGGUGUGGGCGGUUCAGUCUGUCCGUGCCGGAGCUAACGCGUUAAAUGUGCCGCCUGGGGAGUACAGUCGCAAGGCUGAA
rnacentral:rRNA from 1 species